GUCCCUGUAGUGCAACGGAUAGUGCGUUGAACCUCGAAUCCAAAGGUUGUGGGUUCAAAUCCCACCUGGGAUG